CCGGCUGCCCCGGCACGGAGGAGCCUCCCAGGCAAGCAGGGCCACGGGAGCGGGACACGCACAUCACAAACUCCGUACCGCUGUGGGCUGUCACCACGGGCCUGCCCUACGGAAGGAUACCAUCCUCGCCCGAGGCAAUGGCGGACUGAGGGGAAGAACGGGGUCCAGUUUAACUGAUGUAUAUCCACUGCUACUCAAAAGUACUCGUUUGCUCAUAAAACAGAGCAUCUUCAGACACUGCUUA